UACGGGGGGUGCGAGCGUUGUCCGGAAUCACUGGGCGUAAAGGGCGCGUAGGUGGCUUUGUAAGUUUGCGGUGAAAGCCUGGGGCUCAACCCCGGGUCGGCCGUGCGAACUGGGGGGCUGGAGCACUGUAGAGGCAGGCGGAAUUCCGGGUGUAGCGGUGGAAUGCGUAGAGAUCCGGAAGAACACCGGUGGCGAAGGCGGCCUGCUGGGCAGUUGCUGACACUGAGGCGCGACAGCGUGGGGAGCAAACAGG
rnacentral:rRNA from 1 species